CAGUGGGGAAUUUUGGACAAUGGGCGAAAGCCUGAUCCAGCAAUGCCGCGUGAGUGAAGAAGGCCUUCGGGUUGUAAAGCUCUUUUGUCAGGGAAGAAACGGUGAAAGCUAAUAUCUUUUGCUAAUGACGGUACCUGAAGAAUAAGCACCGGCUAACUACGUGCCAGCAGCCGCGGUAAUACGUAGGGUGCAAGCGUUAAUCGGAAUUACUGGGCGUAAAGCGUGCGCAGGCGGUUUUGUAAGUCUGAUGUGAAAUCCCCGGGCUCAACCUGGGAAUUGCAUUGGAGACUGCAAGGCUAGAAUCUGGCAGAGGGGGGUAGAAUUCCACGUGUAGCAGUGAAAUGCGUAGAUAUGUGGAGGAACACCGAUGGCGAAGGCAGCCCCCUGGGUCAAGAUUGACGCUCAUGCACGAAAGCGUGGGGAGCAAACAGGAUUAGAUACCCUGGUAGUCCACGCCCUAAACGAUGUCUACUAGUUGUCGGGUCUUAAUUGACUUGGUAACGCAGCUAACGCGUGAAGUAGACCGCCUGGGGAGUACGGUCGCAAGAUUACAAC
rnacentral:rRNA from 1 species